UCAGCUUGUUGGUGGGGUAAUGGCCUACCAAGGCGACGACGGGUAGCCGGCCUGAGAGGGCGACCGGCCACACUGGGACUGAGACACGGCCCAGACUCCUACGGGAGGCAGCAGUGGGGAAUAUUGCACAAUGGGCGAAAGCCUGAUGCAGCGACGCCGCGUGGGGGAUGACGGCCUUCGGGUUGUAAACCUCUUUCAGUAGGGAAGAAGCGAAAGUGACGGUACCUGCAGAAGAAGCGCCGGCUAACUACGUGCCAGCAGCCGCGGUAAUACGUAGGGCGCAAGCGUUGUCCGGAAUUAUUGGGCGUAAAGAGCUUGUAGGCGGUUUGUCGCGUCUGGUGUGAAAACCCAUCGCUUAACGGUGGGCUUGCAUCGGGUACGGGCAGACUAGAGUGCGGUAGGGGAGAUUGGAAUUCCUGGUGUAGCGGUGGAAUGCGCAGAUAUCAGGAGGAACACCGAUGGCGAAGGCAGAUCUCUGGGCCGUAACUGACGCUGAGAAGCGAAAGCAUGGGGAGCGAACAGGAUUAGAUACCCUGGUAGUCCAUGCCGUAAACGUUGGGCACUAGGUGUGGGGAACAUUCCACGUUUUCCG
rnacentral:rRNA from 1 species